rnacentral:rRNA from 1 species
GAGAGUAACUGCUCGCACCUUGACCGUACCUAACCAGAAAGCCACGGCUAACUACGUGCCAGCAGCCGCGGUAAUACGUAGGUGGCAAGCGUUGUCCGGAAUUAUUGGGCGUAAAGCGCGCGCAGGUGGUCCUUUAAGUCUGAUGUGAAAGCCCACGGCUCAACCGUGGAGGGUCAUUGGAAACUGGGGGACUUGAGUGCAGAAGAGGAAAGUGGAAUUCCAAGUGUAGCGGUGAAAUGCGUAGAGAUUUGGAGGAACACCAGUGGCGAAGGCGACUUUCUGGUCUGUAACUGACACUGAGGCGCGAAAGCGUGGGGAGCAAACAGGAUUAGAUACCCUGGUAGUCCACGCCGUAAACGAUGAGUGCUAAGUGUUAGAGGGUUUCCGCCCUUUAGUGCUGCAGCUAACGCAUUAAGCACUCCGCCUGGGGAGUACGGUCGCAAGACUGAAACUCAAAGGAAUUGACGG